UUUGUGAUGAGAUUGAUGCUGCCUUGCAUGGUGACAGUGUAAAUGAAGUUGUUUAUGUAGCUGAAGCUCUUGACAUCCCGACUGCCCUAAAACAUACCAUCAAUUGAACAACCACCUUAUUUAGAGCCUAAACGACUUCCCGAGGAUUCAUAUUAUUCAUCAAAGCUUCAACUUAAGCAGAAACAUAAGAAGGGAAUUGGAUGGACCUUGACUGACACUCGUGAUAUUAACCCAU
rnacentral:lncRNA from 1 species